GAGGGGAAGGCGUUCGCCCCCGGGAGCGAUCCCGGCGGGAGGAAAGUCCGGACACCGCAGAGCAGGAUUCCCGGUGAAAGCCGGGGCGGGAGGGAUCCCGACGGACAGUGUCACAGAAAAUAAACCGCCCACCGCGGGGUGGGUAAGGGUGAAAUGGUGGGGUAAGGGCCCACCGCGUCUCCGGGCGACCGGGGCGGCAGGACAAACCCAAUCCGGUGCAAGGCGGAAUAGGAGGUCGGGUUGCUCGCCCAAUGGCCUCGGGUACGCCGCACCUCCCCAGGGAGGAGUGUCCUUCGGGGCGCUAGAUAAAUGAACGCCGCGGUCCGGAUGAUGGGCCGCACAGAAUCCGGCUUACCCCUCACAC
rnacentral:RNase_P_RNA from 1 species